UUAUAAAUACCAUGUCUCUUGUACACCCUCUCAACACCACCAAACAACCUUCCUUCACUCACUAGAACAAUAGAAACACGACGACAACUCGGAGACAAACGAAGAACACGCUGUCGCCAGAGAAGUCGAGAACGUCAGGAAACCCCCACUCCGUUCUUUAUUUCGUUUCGUGGCAGCCCCGGAACUCGUAGACGACGCCGGAGCCGUACGGGAUCACCUCGGAGACCGUUCACCACAUUCGCCUACGUUUUCUGUUGCUCACUCAAUAAACGUUACGACGGAGACGACCGAAGCCACAACGAGACUGUUCAUCUUGUCGGAUAAUCUCUCUUGUUCAUUCUUUUGGAUUUUCCAAUCUUACUCGUGCGUUACUUACAAGAAAUCGCAAACUCAACCAAUGUUGAUUAUUGAAGUAUGGAUGAUUGAUGAAACAAGUUUAGGAUGGACUAGAUACACACUUAAAUUUAUCUAUCUUUUGUUGUUAUGAUCUUUGUUGAAACAAUGUUGUUAUCUCCUUUUGAAUUUGUAUGACAUUUAGUAUUGCAAUGAAAUUUGAAUUAAAUUAAAUAUUGUCACAUAGUGUUAUGACGUCUCUAGCAAUCUACACACACUUCGUCUCAUCCCGAUGUUUCCGCCAUCGGUUGGGAUUGAGAAGUUGAACGAGGUUAUCAAAGUGCCCGUUAAGGAAAAGGAAAAGGAGAAAUAAAGAUUGAGAAGUUGAACGAGGUUAUCAAAGAGCUCGUUAAGAAAAAGGAAAAGGAGAAAUAAUGGUUUGAAUUAUAGCUGAGUUAAUAGCUCAUAAGGAGAAAGAUAAAUGGAUAAAGGUUCUGUGCUUGUUCCGAUGAUGAACAUUGAAGCUAUGUUAAGAAUUUCGGCUCGGAAAUAACUAUAAACAUUGGUUGUUUUAAUGUUUGAAUUUGAGAUAUUUGAUGUUUUGAUUUAGAUGUUUAUUACUAGGAACAUUGGAAGUUUGUUAUGAUUUUAAAAUUUUAUAAACUGGU
rnacentral:lncRNA from 1 species